GAAAUGGAUUCCGGUGCACUACACUUAUCAACAAAAGAAGAAGUUCUUCUCAGAUGUGAAGCACAAUUUUUGGGAGGAUCCAAAUCUUUACAAAAUGUGUGUGGAUCAAGUAAUUCGAAGGUGUGUACUCGAGGAUGAAUUUUCUAACAUUUUACAUCAUUGUCAUGACAGGGAAGCAUGUGGACACUUUGGGGCUAACCGAACUGCAUCAAAGGUACUUCAAUCUGGAUUCUAUUGUCCAACACUCUUCAAGGAUGCCCAUGCGUAUGUUGCUGCAUGUGAUAGAUGUCAACAAACUGGUGACAUCUGAAAAAGGAAUGAAUUGCCUUUAAAUAACAUUCUUAUUUGUGAAAUAUUUGAUGUCUGGGGCAUUGAUUUUAUGGGGCCUUAUCCCCCAUCUUUUUCUAAUGAGUAUGUUCUAGUUGCGGUUGAUUAUGUUUCUAAAUGAGUAGAAGCUGUUGCAACACGCACCAAUGAUGCCAAGGUAGUGGUCUAAUUUCUUAAGAAAAACAUUUUCACACGGUUUGGGAUUCCUAGAGCCAUAAUAAGCGAUCGGGGAAAAGACUUUGAUAAUCGUUAGUUUGACGCUUUACUAGGAAAGUAUGGAGUGACUCAUAAAAUGGGCACCACGUACCAUGCUCAAACUAGUGGUCAGGUAGAGGUUUCAAAUAGGGAGCUGAAACGCAUUCUUGAAAAGACUGUGAACACCUCUAGGAAGGAUUGGGCAUUUAAGUUGGAUGACGCUUUGUGGGUGUAUAGGACAUCCUUUAAGACCCCAAUAGGAAUGUCUCCAUAUAGGUUGGUUUUUGGAAAAGCUUGUCAUCUCCCCGUGGAACUAGAACAUAAGGCAUAUUGGGCUACUAAAUUCUUAAAUUUUGAUUUGCAAGCUGCAGGGGAAAAACAUCUAUUGCAGGUGGAUAAGCUUGAAGAGUUUAGACCGGGAGCUUAUGAAAUAGCAAGGAUUUACAAGGAACAAAUGAAAAAGUGACAUGACAAAAACAUUAGAAGGAUUUUGUUCCCGGUCAAUAAGUUCUUUUGUACAAUACCUAACUUCGUCUCUUUCCAGGAAAGCUCAAAUCCAGGUGGACCGGGCUUUAUAUAGUGCUAAACGUGUCUCCUUUCGGUGCAAUUAAAAUUCGUCACAACAAGUACAAUGACACAUUCAAGAUGCAACAGUACAUAAGACAACUUGAGAAUUGCUCAGCAUCACAGGGCGUUAAAAGAGAAAAUUGCUGAGAUGUUGAUGCUCCUAGCAUGUCAACAAGAUCUCGGUAACAGUCAGGGCAGAUGGAUGCGAGCUUGAUAAUCUACCACAGAUUACCAUUAAAAGCCCACAAUUAAUUAGGCACAGUUUCGGCCCAUUAAAUGCCAACGGUGGAGGCUAAAUUUGGAUAUCAUGGUCUUGUGCUUUCUUCCAAAGAUUGAACAUUGGAUUUGGGGGCUGAUUUGGAGAGGAUAGAGAGUGCGACUUCUGUGGAGAAAACCUUAUCUCGAGGGAGAGUUUGAAAAUGAAAACCAGAUUAAGAUCCGGGAGUAGAAGGAGAGCUGUUGAGAGAGAGAGUUUUACGGGGAGAGAAUCAAGUUUAAACCAGAAAACCCACAGUCAUAGGAGAUUUUCCUCGCAGUUUAGCGGAGAGAAAAGGGGAAAAGAAUACGGAUUCACCCAGAGCUUUUGGAAGGAGAUUCGCCAGGGCUUUUGGGAGGAGAUUGACCCAGAGAAAUUGCUGAGGAGGAACGGCAGAGACUUGGUGGAAAACCAUCUGUGAAGUUCAUCCAGGCAGAUUAUUAACCUUAUUUUCUUCUUUUCUUCUUUCGUGAAGCACAUGGUGAUGUCUUCUAGAAUUGUCUUUGUUUCAUUUAAUUUAGUUAU